rnacentral:rRNA from 1 species
UACGGAGGGUGCAAGCGUUAUCCGGAUUCACUGGGUUUAAAGGGUGCGUAGGCGGUUAGGUAAGUCCGUGGUGAAAUCCUGCAGCUUAACUGCAGAGCUGCCGUGGAUACUAUCUAUCUUGAAUAUCGUGGAGGUUAGCGGAAUAUGUCAUGUAGCGGUGAAAUGCUUAGAUAUGACAUAGAACACCCAUUGCGAAGGCAGCUAACUACGCGAUCAUUGACGCUGGUGCACGAAAGCGUGGGGAUCAAACAGG